AAUUGCCCAAAUGCUUAUUGUGGACUUAGUUAUCCAGAUUUUUCUGAAUUAAUUUUAAGAAACCACAGGAAAUUCGUUUCUCAUGUCAGCUUCUGCAGAGCCUCUGGUGGAGGCUGUUACUCAGGUAUUGGUCACUAGGUUUUUCUAAGUGACUGCAAGAGUGCUCUGAGUUACCCAGGGUCAACCACUGCAGCCCUCUCGCUUGUGCUACAUCUCCUUUCUCACCUUGUAAUCUUCUUUUUCUUUGUCCUCAGUUUCCUCUCUUUUCCAUCUCUAUGAAUGUUUUCCUGAGAUACAAUGCACAUGGCUUAAGAGUCACACUCUAAAAUGUUUACCAUCCAUUGGUUUUAUUAUUCCCCUAGAUGAUAGGAGCAAAACUUUCAUUUGAUUCCAAAACUUUUUCAUCACCCCAAAAGGAAAUACCAUGCCCACCAAUGACCAUUCUCCAUUCUCCUCUUCUCCCAGCCCACAGCAAACACUAAUCUACUUUUCUGUUUGAGGGAUUUGCCUAUUCUGGACAUUUCAUAUAAAUAGGGUCAUAGAAUAGGUGGCCUUUUGUGUAUUGUAUGACUUCUGUUUAGUGUAAUGCUUUGACGGUACAGCCAUUCUGUAGCAUGUUAUCAGUAUUUUACUUCUUAUUAUUUCCAAAAGAUAUUCCAUUGAAUGGACAUACUAUAUAAAUACUCUGGGAAAAAUGUGAACAUUAGUUGUUGGACAUCUGGAUUGUUCUUACUUUUUGGCUAUGAUGACUUAUGCUCUGAUGAACAUCCAACUACUACUUGUAUAACCUCUGAGGACAUGCAGGAAAAACAGCUACUCUACACUCCCUUUAUGAGGAAAUUAGAAACUAUUUUCCAUUGUAGCUACAACUUUUGACACUCUCAUCAAUAAUAUGGUGGUUCCAAUUUCUCCAUUUCCUUGCCAACAUUUACUGUUUUCCUCUAAAGAAAAUUAAUUAUAAGCAUCCUAAUUGGUAUGAAGUGGUAUCUUACUAAGGUUUUUAUUUGCAUCUUUCCAACAAAUAAUGAUGUAGAG
rnacentral:lncRNA from 1 species